AGAGACCGCUAAGGUGAUCCUUGUGACAACUCUCCACUUUUGUCCGAUCAUAUUCUUCAAUUAAGUAUAAAUUGUUCAUCCUGUAAGCGUGAAGGGGGUUUGGUAUUCUUGAGAUGUCUGAGUUGUCUCACAGAUGAAGAAGUAGCACUUGGACCAGUCAAGGAAGAGGAAUUGCAUUUGGG